CAGCAUCCCGUUUCAAUGGAGAAACUACCGAUGUCAACUGAGUAACGUACCUCUUCUUCUCCUUUCUUUAAAUCCCCCUUGUCCUCGUGUACACCCAUGUGAAUGUGGGAAUCAAUGUUCAGCUGGGAUGUUUAAUUUUGCCGCUGGCACAACAACCACUCGCGGAUGGAACAUCAAAAUCGCUAUGCUCCCUUGUGGCGCUAGAUAUCUCGCUCCGGUGGAUUGCCUCCUAUAUUUCACCGCUUCUACGGGAAGGGUCAAAUCAUUCAAUUGGCAAGACGCCACAGGUGCCCUCCAACUCAACAAUCAAAACUACAACAUUUGCUUCCGGACGGAACUGGUUUCAUCGCAGG